rnacentral:rRNA from 1 species
CCCUUAGAUGUUCUGGGCCGCACGCGCGCUACACUGACUACUUCAACGAGUUGUUUCCUUGAUCGAAAGGUCUGGGUAAUCUUUGAAAGGUAGUCGUGAUGGGGAUAGAUCCUUGCAAUUUUUGAUCUUCAACGAGGAAUUCCUAGUAAACGCAAGUCAUCAGCUUGCAUUGAUUACGUCCCUGCCCUUUGUACACACCGCCCGUCGCUGCAACUGAUUGGGUGACCUGGUGAACAUCUUGGACCGGUCCACUCAAUUUCGAGAGGACUGGAAAAGGCCGUAAAUCAGGUACAUCUAGAAAUUGCAAAAGUCGUAACA